CUCAUUUGUUUCGCGCUCAGACUCCCAUCUAUUUUCAUUUCCGCGCGUCCCAGCUCAGGAGGCUCCCAUCCUUGAUCGACCCAGCCAAAGCAUCGUUCAGUGGCUUCUUCUUCUCCGGCGUGCUCUCUCUGCAACUCCUGGACUCAUCAAGGAUAGUUCUUCUCUUCUUCAACAUCGUCUUCAUUCUGCUUGUUAGAUCGUCUUCGUCGGCCAUUCCAACUGCAAGCGAGUAAUUUGAGCUGAAUAAGAAGGUAAGGAGACAACGACGAUGACGAUUGUGAUGGGCUUGAGUGUGAUGGGAAUAUUAGAUUUGGUGGUCGCUGGGAUUUCCUUCGUGAUUUUUUUGGCAGUUUUUGCCAUCAUUGCUUCCAUUUUGUGCUGCACUGCGUUCUUCUUCCAUGCCAAGAACCUCUCUUAAACCCUUGACUAGAGGUACAAACUAUACACUCUCUUUCGUCCCUGCUUGAUCCAUGUUCGGGCAAGUUUUACCUGAAAUUGUUAGUUUUCAAUCAUCGACUUUCAUGUGCGAUUUAUUUUGUGAGCCAAUUGAAAUCUAGCUAUGAUGCGGACGAAACAGAAUUCAGGGACACAUACUGUCAAUAAAGCCAUGUCCAAAUUCAAAAUUAUAAGGAAAAAUGCCAGACGACCUUUCAGUCUUUGGAAUUGGGUUGCUGCUAAAUAGCACCUGAAUUUUCAAAAUUAGUUCUCCAAAUGUUUUACAUCGUAGAAAAUAAGGGAAAAGGGCAUUUUGGAACUUUAGAUCACGAUCAUCAUCCUAUAAGCCUUCUUCCUAGCACCAGUGUUGACUGAACCAUCUUGUGGUGAGUCCUCUUCCACCAUUACAAUGAUACCCUGCUAAUGACUAUGGAAGUAUAUAUUGCUGGCUACAUGAGAUUUUUGACAUUUUGAACUUUUCAGCAGUGGUUUCAAGUGGCUAGGAAUCAUCUUUUCUACUACUUGCACAUAACUUUUUUGAAAAUUUGGAUGGAAGUAAAGUUUGCUUCCUAGAGUACGUAAAAAUAAAAUGGCAGUCAAGGAUCUCAGCAUGAUCAGAAUCAUGCAAACAACAGCAACAACAACAACAAACACUUCUAGUAUGAAGUGUCUUCUUGUGCUUGAAUCACAAACUGUUUCAGUCAGAAGUGAAUAUGCUCCUUAUUAAUGGGAGAGAAAGCACUGGGCAGGGAAACAAAUGCAUCUUUGUAAGCGAAGCCUCUUUUUUCUUAAAUCUUAAAUUCAAAGGCUUCAAGUUUAAACUUCAAACAAAACCUUCCGUUUGUCAAUGAAGCAUUGUUUGUCUCUCAGCAUUCCCAUCCUUUAGAACCGGCAAAAAUAUAUCUAUCAAGUUGAGGAGACUGUUAUAGAGUUGCUAACAGAGCAUAUUAGUUUCCCUCACUCGGGUUCACUCAUGGAUUUAUUGACAUUCAUCUUUGAUCUUUCAAAUUUUCACAAUUUAAAUGGAUUGAUAGCCUCUUGAGACAGAUUGAUAAUUUGAUUCUUGUGUUGUAUGUUUGUACUUACAGUUUACUACCUUCGUUGUUUGACUUUAAUUUAUACACAAUCUCUACCUUAAACGUAUUGA